GGCUCAGGACGAACGCUGGCGGCGUGCUUAAUACAUGCAAGUCAACUUGACUUUAGAUAGCAAUAUCGAAAGUAGGGUGGCGCACGGGUGCGUAACGCGUAGGUAAUCUGCCCUGAGGUCUGACAUAACCCGUCGAAAGGCGGGCUAACAUCAGAUGAUAUAUAAUCACGACAUCGUGGAAAUAUCAAAUCUUCGGAGCCUUGGGAUGAGCCUGCGUCUGAUUAGGUAGUUGGCGGAGUAAUAGCCCACCAAGCCUACGAUCAGUAGCUGGUCUGAGAGGAUGAUCAGCCACACUGGAACUGAGACACGGUCCAGACUCCUACGGGAGGCAGCAGUAAGGAAUAUUGCUCAAUGGGGGAAACCCUGAAGCAGCAACGCCGCGUGAAGGAUGAAAUACUUUGUAUGUAAACUUCUGUAAGAUGGGAAAAUAUUCUCCUCGGGAGAAUUGAUUGUACCAUCAGAGUAAGCCCCGGCUAACUACGUG
rnacentral:rRNA from 1 species